GUCACUUCCCUGGUCACUUUAGCCUGGGGAUCAUUUCCAAGUAGUAUAGUUGCAGAUCUUCGAACGCCAUUCCUGUGUUCUGUGAAUUCAAGACAACAUGGGUUUUAUAACCCUUUGACUCUGCUCAGCAUCUCCCAGAUCAAGCAGGAGGCCAGGAGCCCAGCCUCUUGUAGAAACAGCGAGGGUAUAACUGCCCUCCCGUUCUGCCCCCAAGACGAAGGAGGACUCUCGGAAGCCAAGAAAGGUUUAAGAAGUCUUUCUGGAUAGAGAGCAGUGCCCAGGCAGGAAGCCUUUCGCCGGCAGAGCGGGGUCCAAGGACGAGCUGGAGAGGACAGAGGCGCGAUGGGCCUGCUGCAGGGCCUGCUCCGAGUCCGGAAGCUGCUGCUGGUCGUCUGCGUCCCGCUCCUGCUGCUGCCUCUGCCCGUCCUCCACCCCAGCAGCGAGGCCUCGUGUGCUUACGUGCUGAUCGUGACUGCUGUGUACUGGGUGUCGGAGGCAGUGCCUCUGGGAGCUGCAGCCCUGGUGCCGGCCUUCCUUUACCCGUUCUUCGGAGUCCUCCGGUCCAAUGAGGU
rnacentral:lncRNA from 1 species